UAUUGGAGAUAAAAUGAGAGAGGGCCGAUUAAGAAAGUUUAGUCAUGUUUAUCGUAGAUCAUCAAAUAAACCAGUACAGAAAUGUGAUAAUUUAGUAGGGAAAGGAGUGAGACGAAAAAUGGGGAGACCUAAAAUGAUAAGGAGAGAAGUUAGUAGCAAAGGAUUUACAAGUAUUGGAUAUUGAUGUGGAUUUGAUGUCUAAUAGAGCUGAAUGGCGAAAAAAA
rnacentral:misc_RNA from 1 species